CCUACGGGAGGCAGCAGUAAGGAAUCUUGCGCAAUGGGCGAAAGCCUGACGCAGCGACGCCGCGUAGGCGAUGAAGGCCUUCGGGUUGUAAAGCCCUUUUCUGGGGGACGAGGAAGGACGGUACCCCAGGAAUAAGUCACGGCUAACUACGUGCCAGCAGCCGCGGUAAAACGUAGGUGGCAAGCGUUAUCCGGAAUCACUGGGCGUAAAGCGCGUGCAGGCGGUUCCGUAAGUCGGACGGGAAAGCUCCUGGCUUAACUGGGAGAGGCCGUUCGAUACUGCGGGACUGGAGGUCGGGAGAGGGACGUGGAAUUCCCGGUGUAGUGGUGGAAUGCGUAGAGAUCGGGAGGAACACCAGUGGCGAAGGCGGCGUCCUGGCCCGCACCUGACGCUAAGACGCGAAAGCGGGGGGAGCAAACAGGCUUAGAUACCCUUGUAGU
rnacentral:rRNA from 1 species